UUUUUUAUAUUUUUUUUAAGCAAAACGGUAACUGGAAGUCUGAAGAGAUGAUGGUUACGGACAGAGGCGGAGGGAUGUGACACUGUUUUCUGUGCGGAGGCAAAGCUUGCGGUUGCAGCGUUUGUGAUUUUGACCCCGGGGAUGGCCUGUUGUCACUCCCACUCUUGGCUGCUCCCCAAUAUUCAAUCCCUUUCCCUCUGCAGAUGGAGAAGCUUCACUUUCAGAUUGGUAGGAACAACAACAACAAUCUCCCCUAAUUUCCCAUAAGGGCUACUGCAAUACGUUCAAUCGUAGUUUUUAUUCGGCUUCACCAGGAGUUGUUAGUGAGAAUGUUGAUGCUGCCGCCACCCCCGCCUUUUACUCUAAAAGUGAGGGAGUAGUACACCGAGACAUGCUGCUGGCUUCGACUUUGAUAAAGCAUGAAGAGAAAACAGUGAAUAGUAACCCUUCAGAUGGUAGAGUAAUGCUCGUCGACGGCACAUCCAUCAUUUAUAGAGCAUACUAUAAGAUUUUUGGUGUCGAUUCCUUCCUUCUCUUGCAAAGCUGCAUCAUGGACAUCUGUCACAUGCCGUUGGAAACGGAGAUUGGGUGUUGACCAUCUUCUCAGCACUUUCUCUUAUAAUUGAUGUCCUGAUGUUUAUCCCUUCCCAUGUGGCAGUGUGAUUUUAUUCCAGUAUGUAUUUUGUGUAUUUUCAUUCUAUUUCACUUGUAGGUUCUAGACUUCUAGUUUGCAUGUUCUCUAUCUAUUUUUACGGAGUUGGCUGGCAAUGUGUUUCAUAUUGAUCGGGUCAUUCUACCUUGGUUAAACAAACUUAAAAGGAUUAGUGCUGCUGAACUGGUAGGGAAAACAGAGAGAUGAGAAGGAGAGGGGAAGACUCGAAAGAGAACUAUAGGCAGGCUUCAGUAUUCCAUAAUGCAAGCAUGUCUUGAAGAGCUAGAUGAUCAACUACAUCAAAUUAAGUAGCUCCAUAACCCAAUCGGCAAUCCAUAGUUAACUGAAUUCCUUAAUUGAAUUGUAUUCCUCCCAAAUUAUUUCUUUACCUCAUUGUCCAUCAACUAGUUAUCGUUGUUUCCGUUUUUUGUGGUUUCAACUUUCAAAUGUUUUUUCAUAUAAAAUGCGGAUAUUAGUUGUUAGAAAUAAUUUUAUUUAUAAGUAGACAUGGAGCCAUUAAACUUGCUUGGUUUUGUUCUCCUUGAGUUUAUUCAAUUUCUGAUAUCAUAGUCCCCCACUUUUGUCCUGUAACACAACUAAUAACUUUUUUCUUCUUCUUUUUUUUGUCUUUUCAUGUAGGUGGUGUUUGACCGUGAUGGUGUGAUACAAAUUUUGUUGGCCUCUUCAUUUUGUUAUUGAUAUUCUUAUAUUUGUAUUUACUUGUACACUUCCAAAUUGCAUCACCAUAGAGCUCAUUAAAUGCUAUAUACAUAUAAAGUCUUGGGUUUAGCUAGUGAAGUCGUACUUACUGUGCUCAAUAUGUAGGUGGGGGAGCAUGUUUUCCAAGCCCAAUUUUGAUAAGACAGACAUUCUCUUUUCAGGAAUUUCAUUUGGUCAAACAUGUAAUUCAUCCAAAGAAAGUGUUAAAAAGGAAAAGGCCUGAAUUUUCAUCAUACUCUGUACCCCGCAUACAAGAGCAGUCGCCCCCCUACACCUGACACCAUUGUCCAGGGACUCCAAUACUUGAAAGCAUCAAUCAAGGCUAUGUCCAUUAAGGUGAUUGAGGAAAUAGCUCCAUAUCACAGCUUCAUAUGACCAGUUAACCCCAUAGGUAUGUUGUGAUUGAUCAUGAGUCUACUCAAAGGCAGGUGCCCGGUGUGGAAGCUGAUGAUGUGAUUGGGACAUUGGCUGUUAGAAGUGUUGAUAGUGGGUACAAGCCUCUCCAUAAAUGGGGGUAAGACUAGCCGACAUUCACCUCUCCCAGACCCUGCGUAAAGCGGGAGCCUUGUGCACUGGGUACGACGACCUAAAUUUUGACAGGUACGGGUUGUCUCCCCAGACAAAGACUUUUUUCAGAUUCUAUCUCCUUCGCUGCGCCUUCUACGAAUUGCUCCACGUGGCUUUGAUAUGGUUUAUGGAGGAUUUUGCUGAAAAAUAUGGAAGCCUUCAACCUUCUCAGUUGGUUGAUGUGAUCUCACUUGUCGGUGACAAAUCCGAUAAUAUUCCAGGAGUCCAUGGAAUUGGAAAUGUUCAUGCUGUGCAACUCAUCACUAAAUUUGGCCUUGAUAGAAAAUGCUGAUCAGGCUCUCUUGAGCAAGAACUUGUUUAGUUCGGGGCCCCAUUGCAACAUCAUUAUCUGCUCUUGAACUUUGAUGCAGGGGUUUUGAGCCAUUGCAUUUGAGUCAAGACUUUGGUAUGCCACUUGAACUUUCAUGCUUUGUUUCCCUGUGCUUUCCAUUUGAGGCAGCGUGACUUUAUGUUUUUUUUAAUAGAAUGUUUGAUGUUUUGGCCUUAUAUUAUUUCUUUGCCCUCUGCUUUGUUUCUUAUUCUUGGUUUUUUAUUUUGGUUUCAAUUCAAAGGUCCCUUGCUGUCUUUAUAAUUCUGGUUUACCCAAGUGUUCUUAAUUUUUUAUCGAAUGUUGUUAGACAUUUUACAUGUUUUUUUGCCAGUUGCUUACUUUCUUUUUUAUGUGUUGAAUUUUCCAAAUUAUUGUUCAAAGGUCAGUUGAUUUGGCUGGUUGGUGUGUUCAUUAGGUUUUUCUAUGAGUGGGCUCUCUCAUCCUUCCCGAAGUGCUUUAAUGAGUGAUGUUGAUAAGUGCACUCUCUCUAUGGACCAUAAAUAUUUCACGAAAAAUGGCAACUUACAUAUUUAAGAAAAUGAGUAGCCUUUUAACAAUACAUGAACACAACUUACAUAUUUAGAAAAAUUUAGGACUAUUUAUGACACGCUACAACCCCGAUAUCCCCAAAUAUCAGGGUAGACACGUGUUGGCCGACACCCGAGGGUGACGAAGCCAUUAAAAACAUGCAUACCGAUAAAAUAUGUAAUUAGAAAGAGAUACACUAGUGCAAAAUUGUGUUCAAAGCAUACAACUAAUCAAGAAUAAAGUGAAAGAAUUAUGAUAGAAAGGUACGAACUGAGGAAUGGGUCCUACACAGAGGAGGCUCGAGAUGCCUAAGCGGAAGUGUCUUGACGCUGGGAUCGUGUGCCUUGAUUCUAACUCCUGAAGGGGGAGAAACGGUGAGUGGACCAUAAUUGAUAUUAAUACUAAUAAUACGAAAACUGAUUUCUUACUGAACAUACUAACCCUUGUUUUGAAUAUAUAUAUAAUACUACAUAUGGUAAGUUUUCUGAAAACUCUAGCAUGCCAUGAAAUCAUUCGUAAAACAAAUAUAUGUAAAACCAUGCUCAAUAAUGGUGCUUUCAUUGCCCGAAGGCAAAUCCAUAAAUCUCAUCAAUACUGUACUCUCUAGGGGUAUCAUAGUCGCCCGAGGCAGUACCUGUCCAUCACUCGAAGGUGAAACUGUACGACACUGGGUUACGCCAGUUAAGAAACAUGGUAGGCCCCAUCACCCGAAGGUGAAGUUGUAUGACUUUGGGUUAUGCUAGAGAAGAAACAUAUAACAUCACACACUGACACUAACCGUUGCUAGUGAAGCUGUCCGACACUGGUUUCACCAGUGAAGCUGGGGGUAUAUCAUAUAUCUCCUCAACUGUGUCCUAUGACCAUAGACGUCUACAUACUCGUGUUGUGUGGAUGUGCUAUAUGAUAACCCACUAGAUAAGCACUGAAAACAUACCUCAAAAACUCAUAUCCAAAUCUAAAGCUCAAAAGCUCAAAGUCUCCUCUUAUCAAUCCUUGAUAGCACAUAUUCAUAAAUCUGUAAAAUAAAUCGUAUUUGUAAUCCAUAAACUUUCAUAUACGAAAACUCAAUAAUCCAUUACCUUUCAUAAAACGUAAAUACGUGAAAUUAUAAAUAUUUUAAUUUCUUCAUAAAACAUAAAUCUAGAAAUCCAACAAACGUAACAUAAAAUGUAAUCAAUUCAUGAAAUAUGAAUGCAUGCAAGCCUAAUAUUUUAUAAAAUCAUGCAAGUUUAGAAGGGGUCCACUCACAGUAUUCCAUUGCCCGUACGCUGCUAGAACUAGCGAGGAUGAAGUCAUUUCCCACCGAUGCACCUAACCACAUAUAGAGGUUAUUUAGGUAAACUCUACUAAAACGAUCAAAUUUUAGGAAACGGACAACAGAUUUAGAUUUGGCAUGUCGAGAAACCCAAGGAGGGACCUCGGGUUCCCCCACGAGUCACCGCAUGCGCCACCAUACAUUGAGUUGGGUCGUUGGAGCACAGUACCUUCGGCGGAGGCGCGUGUGCUCCAUGCACCAGCCAUGACAAGCACCCAUGUGCCAACCCACGUGUGGACAUGGAACUAAGUUAGGAUCUGGGUCAGGGCUUGGGCUAAUGGGUUGAGCCAAGUUAGGGUAAAUGGGCUAUGAGCCUGGGUUACAUGGCCCAAGGGUUUGGGCUAGGUCCGUUAUUGGGUUAAAGGAUUGGGCCUGGACAAUAGGUUGGGCUGGAUCUGAUUAGGUUGGGCUAGUUAUUAGGCUGGUUUUGGGUUGAGGGUCGAGUCUUUGGGUUUCUGAGUUUGGCCGACCUGGUUUCAAGCCGGAUUUCAUGAAGAAGAAAUCCUGAGAAGCAAGGGAUAAAAAUUUACACUUGGUUUCCUCAACUGUGGCCGGAGUUGGCCAAAAAACAGUCUAGAAGGCACGGGUUCUCGUCGGAAACUGGGGAAGGUUCCCCCCGAGUAUUUCCUGUGUCUAAAACCAUACCACACACGUCAAAACUAUCCUAAUCGUGCCCUAAAACAUAAUCUCUGAAGUUUUGGUUGGUUAUCGAAGCUCAUCGUCAUUGGAGAUGGCGAGGAUUCGCUGAAGAAACGUUUGCACAAUAAUGGUGCCACUGUGAAGAGAGAAAGACAUCGUCCUGGGUUAGGGGUUCGAGAGUGUGACUUCGAUCAGUGAGGAGAGGUUGGUAGAGGCGGUGGUCCGUAAGGUGGCUAGCCAGAGAGGUGUCGGGUGUGGGUGAGGUCGGAGAGAGAAGGAAAUGGCUGAGAAAGAAGGAAAAUGUUUCCCGGGGAGAGACAAAGAGAAAGGUAGGAAAAAAGAGAGAGAUAGAGAGUUCUAGAGAGAGAGGAGUCACGAUAAAGGGAGAGGAACACCCUAGAAAUGUGGAGGGGAUCUGUCACGUGUCAGCGCGGGAGUGGUCCAAGGUGGAAAAUAUCUUGGCUUGGAAAAUUACCAAAAUGCCCUUACGUUUCAAAUUCCGUAAAACGUUCCUCAUAACUCCAAAUCCGAUUCUGCUUGCGCCCACACGCUCAUAGUGACAAGUCUUACAAGGAUACAGUAAGAAAACGGAUCUUACAUGACAUGACAAGGUGGUCCACAAAAGUCAACGUUUUUGCCUUAAGGGGCAUUUUCAUAAAUUCACACUUUAAAAUGAUAAAAAUUGUAAUAUUUGGGGACAGGUCAUUACAAUUUACAUUCAACCUAUAGGUAUUAUUAACCCAUACAAAAUUAA